GGGUGGUGCGCUGCCAGCUAUGUUUGUUCAAAGGCGAGCGCUGCGGGCUGUCCUCGCCUUUGGAAAUAUGUUUUGAGCAUCUGGCGGGCGGGUGCACACGCUACCUGCUGACUCAGGCCAGGGCUCUCGAGGUGGGAAGCCCAGCAGAGGCCCCUGGAGCUCCCCUCCUGCGUCAGCUGAGCCACACAUGGGUCUGAAAUCUGCACCUGAACCCAGGCUUUUACAGUCGGAGAGACAUCCAGGAGCUGAGAGGCCACAGGGUGAUCACGUGGAGGGACGUGGAUGACGUCAGAACUUGGGGUGAGCAGGUUGUUCCAGGCUGGAGCCUUGGUCACCAGCAGCUCCUGAGCUCACACCUGUCCCCUGCACCCCAAGAGCGGAAAAGCC